GUCGUUGUGUGGUGAGAACUGAUACAAAAUCGAUAACAACAAUGCCGCCAUUUUCUUUAUUUUUUGUAACCUACAAUAAAUAAAGCAGGCUUCCAGUCAAUGGAAAAAUGGCUUCUCCCCACCGGCGAUUGUUGUUGUUUACGAUUUUCUAUCAGUUCUCACCACACAACGACGUCUCAUCUUUGCUCCUUGAAUGUCGAUAUGUAAUGGUAUGGAGUUAUUGAAACUUACUACGUGUAAAAAAGACUAGAAAUUGAAUGUUUAUUUUUCAUUGAAUGUUUACAUAAAGUUGCACUGGGUGCCUUUAAAUGCAUGCACUGUAAUGAAAUAGAUUUUACCUGCUGCAAUUCCAUUAUUUAAGUGUAUUGCUAAUAAUGACAUGGCAUUAGAAAAUGUUUCAACAAAGCGGUUUUAACUGCAACAGCCAGGAAUACAUGGCAUAUCAUUCGUUCUCAUCCAUCCAUUCCUCCACGCAUUGCAGAGCUUCCAGUGACGGAUCAGAGGAGGAUUUAUGCGCGUUUCAGUGCGAGCGCUAAAAUUGGAAGGAACACGCGCGGACAGCCAAAAUAAUUCCUCAAGUGCUUGACGAGCAGCAGCCUCUCAGCAUGCCACUAGGCGCGUACAGUUGUAUCUAAAUAUUGUUUAUCACCUUGUGGUUACGAAGAGGGCUUGCAUGGGAGAGAAGUGUGUGCCAAUCAUCUGACCUCUGCAGCGCUUGCAGAUGCAGACUGGCAGAGACAAAGAGAAGUGGUGUAGGUCACGGGAGGUGUCAAACAGGAUUUACACGUCCUUUACUUGGUCCUACGUCAAGUGGGAGUUUUUAUCGGCUCUGAGGUCGCCUGGCCAUGCCAAAACAUUCACUAUCAGGUGAGGCGCAUUUCGCCUAUUGAUGGAUGAGUGUUAGGUCGACAGAGAGCACCAGGAAAGAAUGUGAUAAAACACAGCCCCACCAAUUAUAUAUUAAUUUUUUGAUUUAUUAUUGUUGUUUGUACAAACAAUGGCACAUAUUCAUAUACAUGACUUUAGCAACAUAAACAUUUAGAUAUAUAACAUCUCAUUUGUAAAUAUGUCCUGUUUUUACUUCAGUAAAAGUGCAUUGUAAAACAUGACACGACACGUUAUCAAAAAUAUGGAAACAUGAAAAAAAGAGGAGGGAAAUAAAUAACCAUGCCACUUGCAUAUGUAACAAUGGAACAUAUUUGAGUGUGUGGGUGCUGCCUCCAGGUGUGACCUUUCAUCUAGGUCUUGGAAGAACUGUAUCAUAACGCAUGAUUUCACAUAGCUAUAAAUAACCCAUGCCCGUCACACCAUGGUCAAAACAUCCAUCACUUUUCAAAAAGAAUGUACGACUAUAUACACAUUUUUAGUUAACAGUACAAAUCCACGUUUGUAUCGCUUUAUCGCGAGAUCAUGCUGGAAAAGACUCAUAGACACAGGUGACGGAGAUCCUACAUUUUGAUUUAAAACGUUUUUUUCUUAUGAAGCCCAUUUGGUCAUGCAAGAGAACCCUCCUGAAAUGCUUACAUAACUUUAAAACACGUCAUAGGGGAAACAUGAGCACAGACGAAUACAUGGUCAGCACCCAUAAUGUUCAUCAAAAUCCGGUUCUGCAUAUUCUUUGCACGACUCGGUGUCCAGUCACAACGGAGAAAGUGCUUUGGCCCUUUGUCUCUUCUAUGCGAGUGCCUGCAUUGUAGAUCUGAACGGCGUGUUGUUAUCCCACAUGACUCUUAACAGACCACCCGGGCAGCCAUCAUCUGGCACGAGGACUCCCAGCCGGUCCUUUUUAAGAAUCCCCCUGGCCUGUGGUGGAGUUAUCCGGCGCAGACAGGUAUCGGGUUAAGCGUGUGCUUCCAGGCGAUCCCCGACACCGCCCGCGUUGGGUUCGUCUAUUUAUUUUUCCCAUGAUUUUCCCCGUGUGGCACACAGUGAUUCAUUCCUGGGACGUCCGCCGGGGAGGGGUCGCCCACAAAAUGCCCCCCUCGAGAGAGAACGAUAGUGGGCGAGAGAGAACGAUAGUGGGCGAGAGAGAGCGAGAGAGAGCGAGAGAGAACGAUAGUGGGCGAAAGAGAGAGCGAGAGAGAACGAGAGAGAACGAGAGAGAGCGAGAGAGAGCGAAAGAGAACUAUAGUGGGCGAGAGAGAGCGAGAGAGAGCGAGAGAGAACGAUAGUGGGCGAGUGACAACGAGAGAGAGCGAGAGAGCGAGAGAGAAUGAUAGUGGGCGAGAGACAGCGAGAGAGAGCGAUUGUGGGCAAGAGAGAACGAUAGAGUGCGUGAGAGAACGAGAGAUCUCUAAAAAUAGACCUCGCCCCGACCUAGCUUCUCGUCCCAUACUGUGACCCCCCAUGUCCCUCUCCCCCGUCCCCCCCCCUAACCAGUUUUCAUCUUGAACUCUGAAGGGCGAAGAACACUAAUUGACUACCCCCGUUGACUACUUACUCAACAGUACCGUCUAUUAAAAAUAGCAGCACCCGCGGGUGGGGGGUACGACCGGUGCUGAGGAGCCUAGCAGAUGGGGCAGUAUGGAACGCAGGGGUGCAGCCCUGCUCCUGACAGGGACGUAUGGAUGGAAACCGAGUUCAUGCUGUGCUUUUAGGUGUUCGGACCCGGUGACAGCACACUUUGACAUGGAGACCCAUAAGCAGAGGAAGAGGUUCUUCUUG